rnacentral:rRNA from 1 species
AUUGAACGCUGGCGGCAUGCCUUACACAUGCAAGUCGAACGGCAGCACGGGUGCUUGCACCUGGUGGCGAGUGGCGAACGGGUGAGUAAUACAUCGGAACGUACCUUAUCGUGGGGGAUAACGCAGCGAAAGCUGUGCUAAUACCGCAUACGCCCUGAGGGGGAAAGCGGGGGAUCGCAAGACCUCGCGCGAUUAGAGCGGCCGAUGCCUGAUUAGCUUGUUGGUGGGGUAAAAGCCCACCAAGGCGACGAUCAGUAGCUGGUCUGAGAGGACGAUCAGCCACACUGGGACUGAGACACGGCCCAGACUCCUACGGGAGGCAGCAGUGGGGAAGUUUGGACAAUGGGGGCAACCCUGAUCCAGCAACGCCGCGUGAGUGAAGAAGGCCUUCGGGUUGUAAAGCUCUUUUGUCAGGGAAGAAACACCGGCUCUAACACAGUCUGGGAAUGACGGUACCUGAAGAAUAAGCACCGGCUAACUACGUGCCAGCCGCCGCCGUAA